UACGAAGGUGGCAAGCGUUACUCGGAAUUACUAGGCGUAAAGGGCAGGUAGGCGGUUUGAUAAGUCUAUUGUGAAAGCUCCCGGCUUAACCGGGAGAGGUCAAUAGAUACUGUCGAACUUGAGUAUGGGAGAGGGUACUGGAAUUCCUGGUGUAGCGGUGAAAUGCGCAGAUAUCAGGAGGAACACCGAUGGCGAAAGCAGGUACCUGGACCAUUACUGACGCUCAGCUGCGAAAGCUAGGGGAGCAAACAGG
rnacentral:rRNA from 1 species